rnacentral:rRNA from 1 species
CAAUAGCGUAUAUUAAAGUUGUUGCAGUUAAAAAGCUCGUAGUUGGAUUUCUGGUGGGAGCGAUCGGUCUGGCGCUUAGCGCAAGUACUUGCAUCGUCUCCGGCCAUCCUUGGGGAGAGUCUGUCUGGCAUUAGGUUGUCGGGCAGAGGAUCCUCAUCGUUUACUGUGAAAAAAUUAGAGUGUUCAAAGCAGGCUUAUGCCGUUGAAUAUAUUAGCAUGGAAUAACAAGAUAGGACUUUGGUACUAUUUUGUUGGUUUGCGCACCAAAGUAAUGAUUAAUAGGGACAGUUGGGGGUAUUCGUAUUCCGUUGUCAGAGGUGAAAUUCUUGGAUUUACGGAAGACGAACUACUGCGAAAGCAUUUACCAAGGAUGUUUUCAUUAA